rnacentral:rRNA from 1 species
UACGGAGGGAGCUAGCGUUGUUCGGAAUGACUGGGCGUAAAGCGCGCGUAGGCGGGCUGGAAAGUUGGGGGUGAAAUCCCGGGGCUCAACCCCGGAAUGGCCUUCAAAACUCCCAGCCUAGAGUUCGAGAGAGGUGAGUGGAAUUCCGAGUGUAGAGGUGAAAUUCGUAGAUAUUCGGAAGAACACCAGUGGCGAAGGCGACUUACUGGACACAUAUUGACGCUGAGGUGCGAAAGCGUGGGGAGCAAACAGG